GAUGAACGCUGGCGGCGUGCCUAAUACAUGCAAGUCGAACGCACAGCGAAAGGUGCUUGCACCUUUCAAGUGAGUGGCGAACGGGUGAGUAACACGUGGAUAACCUACCUCAAGGUUGGGGAUAACAUUUGGAAACAGAUGCUAAUACCGAAUAAAACUUCGUAUCGCAUGAUACAAGGUUAAAAGCGCUACGGCGUCACCUAGAGAUGGAUCCGCGGUGCAUUAGUUAGUUGGUGGGUAAAGGCCUACAAGACAAUGAUGCAUAGCCGAGUUGAGAGACUGAUCGGCCACAUUGGGACUGAGACACGGCCCAAACUCCUACGGGAGGCUGCAGUAGGGAAUCUUCCACAAUGGGCGAAAGCCUGAUGGAGCAACGCCGUCGUGUGUGAUGAAGGCUUUCGGGUCGUAAAGCACUGUUGUAUGGGAAGAACAGCUAGAGUAGGGAAUGACUUUAG
rnacentral:rRNA from 1 species